GCCAUAGCCCCGAGCUCCCGGCCCCCUCCAUCGCCUACCUUCCUUUGUUCCUUCGCUGCCCGAGUCCCCACCGCCGGCGGUGAGCAUAACCCAGAUCCCCUAACCACAUCGAUGCAUGCCUUCCCUAGUGACGCGGCCACCGACAGCCCCGUCCACCCGGGCCUUCACCGACCACCGCUAGCCCUCUCGAAGGACCAAGACAGCGCCCUCCACUUCCUCCUCUCGGGGAAAGAUCCUUCCUAUUCUUCCUCUCUGGAAGGACCAAGACAGCGCCCUCCUCUUCUUCCUCUCAGGGAAAGAUUCCAUAUGUGCUUGUGCUAGAGGCAUGCCGCUGGCACCGUUGGGCCCUCAUUUAUGUUAUACAAGCCAUUUGAGGAUAUGACGUGAUGAGCUAUUUUUCAGUCAACGCGUGGCGAGUCCACUUGGAACUGAAUAGGCACUGGUUCUUCUUCUUACUCUCCAUGAGCCCCUUAUACUACUGCUAUGGUUUAUGUGCCUACUUUUAACUCUCUAAUCUGAAAUUGGGCUGCUUUGUUUCAGCUGAUCUGAUAGUGUGGGUGGGAUAUACAGAACAACCUUGAGAUGUGUCUGCGACCAAUCCACAUUCGGCACAACUCCCACAACUUGAACACCAAGCUCUUUGCCAUUUAAAUGGUUGAGAGAAUAAACUGGAUGGAUGACAAAUCCGAGAAGGGCAUUGAACAAAGUGUAGGUAUCAUGGUCAAUUAUCUCUAAGGUACUUAGCCAACUGGUGCACAUGGACGUGAUGACUUUGCAGCGUUUAUGGACCAACCAACUUGUAAUCAUGGAUCUUAUGUGUUGUAGACCAUUUGGUGAUUUGGUUAUUUUGGAGCUUGCAUUUUGUGCAUGUGGAUACAGACUUGUGUGUACUGGAUCAUCUAGUUGAAGUUUCUCAUACCAGCAAAUAAUGCUAUCUUUUUGUGACUUGUGUGUUCUGGGUGAUUAUUAAGAUGGUAAAAACUAU